GUGCUCACUUCGGCAGCACAUAUACUGAAAUUGGAACGAUACAGAGACAAUUAGCAUGGCCCCUGCACAAGGAUGACACACAAAUCCGUGAAGUGGUCCAUAUUUUU
rnacentral:snRNA from 1 species